rnacentral:lncRNA from 1 species
CCUUACUGGUCAUGUGUUCUAUUAAUUCGGUACGUUGGAUGUAAGACUCUUAUUAUUCAGAAUUUGUGUGUUUGGUGAGCAUUGAUCUCUGGGAUCACUGAGGACGUACAUUCGGCGAUCUCGACUCGUAAGUCGGGGUCCCCACACUUACAGCUUAAGAGACUAAUGUGUUUGUGAGUGUACAUAGGCUCUAUAAGUCACUGAGGAGUUUGAAUUAUUCGAAUAAUAUCGACCCCUAAAAAUGAAUGUCUUCGACUAAAGACUUUGAUAAUUCCUCGAAGACUUUGAAAGCGAGGAAAUUGGUGUAUCCUUGAAGAUAUUGAUGCGAGGACAUUGAAGCGUGAAGACUUUUGUUUUCGUAGUUUCAUUUCCUUUUUUGAGUAAUAGGAACAUCGUACUCCUAAAGGGGGUCGAGGUAAAACUAAGGAAAAGUUUCCAAGUGAUGCUCAUCUCAAAGCCUACACAUAUCCAAUCCUUCGAGCAAAGCCUUUGGAAAUCUUUUACAGUUUAGUCAAUUUCUUUAGUGAUAGAGACGAAAAUCUCCUUCUCUCUGAGG